UGGAUCCAGACUUUGAUCCUGGCUCAGGACGAACGCUGGCGGCGUGCUUAACACAUGCAAGUCGUACGAGGCAGAUUUUCAUCACUGAACUUUAAAGAGCGGACUGAUGAGAGGCGUCGUGAAUGCGAAGCAUUCACCACACUUUUAUAAAGUGCUUAACUUUAAGGCUGAGUGACGAAAAGAUGCCGAGUGGCAAACGGGUGAGUAACGCGUGGACAACCUGCCGUAAAGAUGGGGACAACAGUUCGAAAGGACUGCUAAUACCGAAUGUUGUAGAGUUUCCGCAUGGGGAUCCUACUAAAGGUGGCCUCUACUUGUAAGCUAUCGCUUUACGAUGGGUCUGCGUCUGAUUAGCUAGUUGGUGGGGUAACGGCCUACCAAGGCGACGAUCAGUAGCCGGUCUGAGAGGAUGAACGGCCACAUUGGAACUGAGAUACGGUCCAGACUCCUACGGGAGGCAGCAGUGGGGAAUCUUCCGCAAUGGGCGCAAGCCUGACGGAGCAACGCCGCGUGAGUGAAGAAGGGUUUCGAUUCGUAAAGCUCUGUUGUCGGGGACGAAUGUGGAGAUGGUGAAUAACCAUUUUCAAUGACGGUACCUGACGAGGAAGCCACGGCUAACUACGUGCCAGCAGCCGCGGUAAUACGUAGGUGGCGAGCGUUGUCCGGAAUUAUUGGGCGUAAAGGGAGCGCAGGCGGGAGGUCAAGUCUAUCUUAAAAGUGCGGGGCUCAACCCCGUGAGGGGAUGGUAACUGGUCUUCUUGAGUGCAGGAGAGGGAAGCGGAAUUCCUAGUGUAGCGGUGAAAUGCGUAGAUAUUAGGAGGAACACCAGUGGCGAAGGCGGCUUUCUGGACUGUAACUGACGCUGAGGCUCGAAAGCGUGGGGAGCGAACAGGAUUAGAUACCCUGGUAGUCCACGCCGUAAACGAUGAAUGCUAGGUGUAGGAGGUAUCGACCCCUUCUGUGCCGGAGUUAACGCAAUAAGCAUUCCU
rnacentral:rRNA from 2 species